UACCAGCACCCCGAGUGGUCGGGACGAUUAUUGGGCCUAAAGGCAUCCGUAGCCGGUCCUACAAGUCUUCCGUUAAAUCCACCUGCUCAACAGAUGGGCUGCGGAAGAUACUAUAGGGCUAGGAGGCGGGAGAGGCAAGCGGUACUCAGUGGGUAGGGGUAAAAUCCUCUGAUCCAUUGAAGACCACCAGUGGCGAAGGCGGCUUGCCAGAAACGCGCUCGACGGUGAGGGAUGAAAGCUGGGGGAGCCAAAGC
rnacentral:rRNA from 1 species